rnacentral:rRNA from 1 species
CCUACGGGAGGCAGCAGUAGGGAAUAUUGCGCAAUGGGCGAAAGCCUGACGCAGCGACGCCGCGUGAGGGAUGAAGGUCUUCGGAUCGUAAACCUCUGUCGGCAGGGAAGAACGGUCACUGUGCUAAUCAGCAGUGAAUUGACGGUACCUGCAAAGGAAGCACCGGCUAACUCCGUGCCAGCAGCCGCGGUAAUACGGAGGGUGCGAGCGUUAAUCGGAAUUACUGGGCGUAAAGCGCGCGUAGGCGGUAUGUUAAGUCAAGUGUGAAAGCCCCGGGCUCAACGUGGGAACUGCCUUUGAAACUGGCAAACUUGAGUGUGUGAGAGGAUAGUGGAACUCCAGGUGUAGGAGUGAAAUCCGUAGAUAUCUGGAAGAACACCAGUGGCGAAGGCGACUAUCUGGCACACAACUGACGCUGAGGAGCGAAAGCAUGGGUAGCAAACAGGAUUAGAUACCCCUGUAGUC